rnacentral:rRNA from 1 species
GAUGAACGCUGGCGGCGUGCCUAACACAUGCAAGUCGAACGGACAGGCCCUGCUCUUGCGGGGUGCUCGAGUGGGGAACGCGUGAGUAACACGCGAGUAACCCGUCCCUGACAUUGGGAUAAAUUUAGGAAACUGGGGCUAAUAUCGGAUAGGAGAUCUUGCAGCGUGGGGGGGGAUGGAAAGUUUCGGCGGUGGGGGCUGGACUCGAAGCUUACCGGCUUGAUGGGGGGGUAGUGGCUUACCAAGGCUGCGAAGGGUAGCCGGCCUGAGAGCGUGGCCGGCCACAUUGGGCCUGAGGUACGGCCCAGACUCCUACGGGAGGCAGAAGGCGGGAAUAUUGCGCAGUGGGCGGGAGCCAGAUACGAAGGCGCCGCGUGCGGAAUGACGGCCUUCGGGUUGUAAACCACUUUCGCCUGUGACGAGGCGUGAGUGACGGUAAUGAGUAAGAAAGCACCGGCUAACUACGUG